rnacentral:rRNA from 1 species
AGUGAACGCUGGCGGUAGGCCUAACACAUGCAAGUCGAACGGCAGCACAGUAAGAGCUUGCUCUUACGGGUGGCGAGUGGCGGACGGGUGAGGAAUACAUCGGAAUCUACUUUUUCGUGGGGGAUAACGUAGGGAAACUUACGCUAAUACCGCAUACGACCUACGGGUGAAAGCAGGGGAUCUUCGGACCUUGCGCGAUUGAAUGAGCCGAUGUCGGAUUAGCUAGUUGGCGGGGUAAAGGCCCACCAAGGCGACGAUCCGUAGCUGGUCUGGGAGGAUGAUCAGCCACACUGGAACUGAGACACGGUCCAGACUCCUACGGGAGGCAGCAGUGGGGAAUAUUGGACAAUGGGCGCAAGCCUGAUCCAGCCAUACCGCGUGGGUGAAGAAGGCCUUCGGGUUGUAAAGCCCUUUUGUUGGGAAAGAAAAGCAGCAGGUUAAUACCCCGCUGUUCUGACGGUACCCAAAGAGUAAGCACCGGCUAACUUCGUG